ensembl:snoRNA U3 Small nucleolar RNA U3
AAGACUAUACUUUCAGGGAUCAUUUCUAUAGUUCCUUACCAUAGAUGUUUCUCUGACUGUGUAGAGUACUGGAAACCAUGAGAAGGAAAUACAGUGUUCUCUUCUGAGGGUGAAGCUGUACUGGGUUUUGUUUUGUGCAACUGCCCAUCACCGUUGAUGAUCAUUCUUUUCUCCCCCUGAGAGGGUCAGAAGGAAAGAAUGCAGUCUGGUGGA